GACGAACGCUGGCGGCGUGCUUAACACAUGCAAGUCGAGCGGUAAGGCCCUUUCGGGGAUACACGAGCGGCGAACGGGUGAGUAACACGUGGGUGACCUGCCCUCAGCUCUGGGAUAAGCCUGGGAAACUGGGUCUAAUACUGGAUAUGACUCCACGGUGCAUGUCGUGGGGUGGAAAGCCUUGUGCGGCUGAGGAUGGGCCCGCGGCCUAUCAGCUUGUUGGGGGGUGAUGGCCUACCAAGGCGACGACGGGUAGCCGGCCUGAGAGGGCGACCGGCCACACUGGGACUGAGACACGGCCCAGACUCCUACGGGAGGCAGCAGUGGGGAAUCUUGCGCAAUGGGCGAAAGCCUGACGCAGCGACGCCGCGUGAGGGAUGACGGCUC
rnacentral:rRNA from 1 species